rnacentral:rRNA from 1 species
GCAGUCGAACGAUAUAGUGGCAGACGGGUGAGUAACGCGUGGGGAUGUGCCCUUCAGUACGGAAUAGCUCCUGGAAACGGGUGGUAAUACCGUAUACGCCCUUAGGGGGAAAGAUUUAUCGCUGAAGGAUCAACCCGCGUUAGAUUAGCUAGUUGGUGAGGUAAUGGCUCACCAAGGCUACGAUCUAUAGCUGGUCUGAGAGGAUGAUCAGCCACACUGGGACUGAGACACGGCCCAGACUCCUACGGGAGGCAGCAGUGGGGAAUCUUGCACAAUGGGCGAAAGCCUGAUGCAGCCAUGCCGCGUGAAUGAUGAAGGCCCUAGGGUUGUAAAAUUCUUUCGCCAGGGAUGAUAAUGACAGUACCUGGUAAAGAAGCUCCGGCUAACUUCGUGCCAGCAGCCGCGGUAAUACGAAGGGGGCUAGCGUUGUUCGGAAUUACUGGGCGUAAAGCGCACGUAGGCGGAUUAUUAAGUCAGAUGUGAAAUCCCGAGGCUCAACCUCGGAACUGCAUUUGAAACUGGUAGUCUAGAGAUCAGGAGAGGUUAGUGGAAUACCGAGUGUAGAGGUGAAAUUCGUAGAUAUUCGGUGGAACACCAGUGGCGAAGGCGACUAACUGGACUGAUACUGACGCUGAGGUGCGAAAGUGUGGGGAGCAAACAGGAUUAGAUACCCUGGUAGUCCACACCGUAAACGAUGAGAGCUAGUUGUCUGCAGGCAUGCCUGUAGGUGACGCAGCUAACGCA